rnacentral:lncRNA from 1 species
CUCAGAUCCCUUGGGAAGAUAGGUGGUUUUGUGUGUGCUGUGCUGUUGGUUAUGAUCUGCUGUGUUACCUGAAGGCUGCUUCAAAGAGAAAUUACUGGGUGUCCUCCAUCUUUGAUCUACAAUGAGUGCCAAAUCUGCAAUCAGCAAAGAAAUUUUUGCACCUCUUGAUGAGCGGAUGCUGGGAGCUGUCCAAGUCAAGCGGAGGACAAAGAAAAAGAUUCCUUUCCUAGCAACUGGUGGUCAAGGCGAAUAUCUAACCUACAUCUGCCUGUCAGUGACAAACAAAAAGCCCACACAAGCAUCUAUCACAAAGGUCAAACAAUUUGAAGGCUCCACAUCUUUUGUACGAAGGUCUCAGUGGAUGCUUGACCAGCUUCGCCAGGUUAAUGGUAUCGACCCCAACCGGGAUUCUGCAGAAUUUGAUUUACUAUUUGAAAAUGCUUUUGAUCAAUGGGUGGCAAGCACAGCUUCAGAAAAAUGCACCUUUUUCCAGAUUCUCCAUCAUACUUGUCAGCGGUACCUCACAGACAAGAAACCAGAAUUUAUUAAUUGUCAGUCCAAGAUUAUGGGAGGAAACAGCAUACUUCAUUCAGCAGCAGACAGUGUAACGAGUGCAGUGCAGAAGGCCAGCCAGGCCUUGAACGAGCGUGGGGAAAGGUUAGGUCGAGCAGAGGAAAAGACAGAAGACAUGAAGAACAGUGCCCAGCAGUUUGCCGAAACUGCUCACAAGCUUGCCAUGAAGCAUAAGUGCUGAAGUACUUACUGCCUAUCCUGAUGACCCUCCCAAGAGAAAUGGAAAAGAUUGGUUCAGCAGUUUUUACAAGAAUUCCAAAAUUCCACCUGCUUCUUGUUGCCAAUUCAUUGGAAAUUGGUUUGUGUUUUUUUCAGACAUUAGUAUUGGAGAGGAGGGGAAAGAUGUUGUGUUUUUACAUUUCUGUAGUGACCUUAAGAAAUGCUGCACUAUCUUCAAUUUGGGGAGGGAGGAAUUUUUUUGGGUAUUUUUUCCCCAAAAUGUCUUAGAUGUUUUGUUUUUUAAGUAAGAAAAAUGGACCAAAUAACUUGAACAGGGUGAAAACUGGCAAAAUCUGGAUUUUUUCCUGAUAUGAAACAGGAAGACAUUUUAAUUUGGCUACAUCAAAUGUUAUUGUUUCUGUAUGAAAAUAAAAUUCAAAGAGUGAUUAAUUUUUUUCCCCUC